rnacentral:rRNA from 1 species
UACAGAGGGUGCGAGCGUUAAUCGGAAUUACUGGGCGUAAAGCGUGCGUAGACGGUAGCGUAAGUCAGAUGUGAAAGCCCCGGGCUCAACCUGGGAAUUGCAUUUGAGACUGCUCUGCUCGGGUGCGGAAGAGGGAAGCGGAAUUUCCGGUGUAGCGGUGAAAUGCGUAGAUAUCGGAAGGAACACCGGUGGCGAAAGCGGCUCACUGGGUCUCUGCUGACGCUGAGGCACGAAAGCUAGGGUAGCGAACGGG